rnacentral:rRNA from 1 species
GAAAUCCUGUCGCAGCAACGCCGCGUGGGUGAUGAAGGCCUUCGGGUUGUAAAGCCCUUUUAGUGGGGACGAAAUAAAUGACGGUACCCGCAGAAAAAGCACCGGCUAACUCUGUGCCAGCAGCCGCGGUAAUACAGAGGGUGCAAGCGUUAUUCGGAAUUACUGGGCGUAAAGCGCAUGUAGGCGGUUCGGUAAGUCUGAUGUGAAAUCCCCCGGCUCAAUCGGGGAAGUGCAUCGGAUACUGCCGGACUGGAGUACAGGAGAGGAGAACGGAAUUCCAGGUGUAGAGGUGAAAUUCGUAGAUAUCUGGAGGAACAACGGCGGCGAAGGCGGUUCUCUGGACUGUAACUGACGCUGAGAUGCGAAAGCGUGGGGAGCAAACAGGAUUAGAUACCCUGGUAGUCCACGCCUUAAACGAUGGGCACUAGGUGUCGGGAGUUCUUGCACUCUCGGUGCCGUAGCUAACGCGUUAAGUGCCCCGCCUGGGGAGUACGGUCGCAAGACUA